GGGACAACCCGCCGAAAGGCGGGCUAAACCCGCGUACAUGCCACCGGGGCAUCCCGGAGGCAGGAAAGGCUUCGGCCGGACAGGGAUGGGCAUGCGGCGCAUUAGGCAGUAGGCGGGGUAACGGCCCACCUAACCGACGAUGCGUAGGGGUUCUGAGAGGAAGGUCCCCCACACUGGUACUGAGACACGGACCAGACUCCUACGGGAGGCAGCAGUGAGGAAUAUUGGUCAAUGGUCGGGAGACUGAACCAGCCAAGCCGCGUGAGGGAUGAAGGUACAGAGUAUCGUAAACCUCUUUUGUCAGGGAACAAAGGCGGGGACGUGUCCCCGGAUGAGUGUACCUGAAGAAAAAGCAUCGGCUAACUCCGUGCCAGCAGCCGCGGUAAUACGGAGGAUGCGAGCGUUAUCCGGAUUUAUUGGGUUUAAAGGGUGCGCAGGCGGUCUGUUAAGUCAGCGGUCAAAGCCCGGGGCUCAACCCCGGCCCGCCGUUGAAACUGGCAGUCUCGAGUUGGAGAGAAGUAUGCGGAAUGCGCGGUGUAGCGGUGAAAUGCAUAGAUAUCGCGCAGAACUCCGAUUGCGAAGGCAGCAUGCCGGCUCCACACUGACGCUGAGGCACGAAAGCGUGGGUAUCGAACAGGAUUAGGUACCCUGGUAGUCCACGCAGUAAAC
rnacentral:rRNA from 1 species